CCUACGGGUGGCAGCAGUGAGGAAUAUUGGUCAAUGGACGAGAGUCUGAACCAGCCAAGUAGCGUGAAGGAUGACUGCCCUAUGGGUUGUAAACUUCUUUUAUCUGGGAAUAAAAUGUUCCACGUGUGGGAUUUUGUAUGUACCAUAUGAAUAAGGAUCGGCUAACUCCGUGCCAGCAGCCGCGGUAAUACGGAGGAUCCGAGCGUUAUCCGGAUUUAUUGGGUUUAAAGGGGGCGUAGGUGGAUUGUUAAGUCAGUUGUGAAAGUUUGCGGCUCAACCGUAAAAUUGCAGUUGAAACUGGCAGUCUUGAGUACAGUAGAGGUGGGCGGAAUUCGUGGUGUAGCGGUGAAAUGCUUAGAUAUCACGAAGAACUCCGAUUGCGAAGGCAGUUCACUGGACUGCAACUGACACUGAGGCUCGAAAGUGUGGGUAUCAAACAGGAUUAGAUACCCUUGUAGUC
rnacentral:rRNA from 1 species